rnacentral:misc_RNA from 1 species
CCUACGGGUGGCAGCAGUGGGGAAUUUUGCGCAAUGGGGGAAACCCUGACGCAGCAACGCCGCGUGGAGGAUGAAGUCCCUUGGGACGUAAACUCCUUUCGAUCGGGACAAUUAUGACGGUACCGGAAGAAGAAGCCCCGACUAACUUCGUGCCAGCAGCCGCGGUAAUACGAGGGGGGCAAGCGUUGUUCGGAAUUAUUGGGCGUAAAGGGCGCGUAGGCGGUCGGACAUGUCUUGUGUGGAAUCUUCGGGCUCAACUCGAAGUCUGCACAGGAAACUAUCUGGCUUGAGUGUGGGAGAGGUGAGUGGAAUUCCUGGUGUAGCGGUGAAAUGCGUAGAUAUCAGGAGGAACACCUGUGGCGAAAGCGGCUCACUGGACCACAACUGACGCUGAGGCGCGAAAGCUAGGGGAGCAAACAGGAUUAGAUACCCCAGUAGUC